rnacentral:tRNA from 1 species
UUACAUACUUCCAGUCGGUAGAGCAUGGGACUCUUCAUCUCAGGGUUGUGGGUUCAAGCCCCACGUUGGGCAAAA